CCAGGACCUUGAGAUCAUGAUCUGAGCCAAAGUCAGACAAUUAACUGACUGAACCUCCCAGGUAUCCCUAAAAAAUUGUUUUUAAUUUGAA